CCCUUAGAUGUCCUGGGCUGCACGCGCGCUACACUGGAAGUUACGGAUUGAGGUACUACCUUGUCCGAAAUGGUCCGGGUAAUCACCUAAAAGCUUGUCAUAAUUGGAAUGGAUUAUUGUAACUAGUAAUCCUGAACGAGGAAUUCCUAGUAAGUCCCAGUCAACAGCUGGUACUGAUUACGUCCCUGCCCUUUGUACACACCGCCCGUCGCUACUACUGAUUGGACGUUUAAGCAAGAUUUUUAAACACUGACAGUGUGUAGUUCACGCUAUACUACAGUGAGAAGAAGAAGAUCGAGCUUACUUGUCUAGAGGAAGUAAAAGUCGUAACA
rnacentral:rRNA from 1 species